rnacentral:lncRNA from 1 species
UUUCGCACAAACUGCUAGAUUAAGUACGCGGCGCGCCCGAUUAAGUCCGAAGUGGUUACAGUUCGCAAGGAGUUUAAGCCUGUAAAACUAGUUCUUUUUGCUUUGAUUUUUGGUAAUAGUGACAAUAAAGUGUCUUGGGCGGCCAAAUAGUGGAAGUACAGUUCGACUUUUUUAGUUUCAUCCGGUAACUUCACCCAGUGAAUUUUCUUUCAACGUUACAAUGUGUGUGUGCGCGCGCGUGUGGGCUGUGUGUUUUAGUUGAAACUGUUGCAUUU